UACGUAGGUGGCGAGCGUUGUCCGGAAUUACUGGGUGUAAAGCGCGUGUAGGCGGGAGGCCAAGUCUGCUGUGAAAUCGCUCGGCUCAACUGGGCGGGGUCGGUGGAAACUGGUCACCUGGAGGACGGUAGAGGCAAGUGGAAUUCCCGGUGUAGUGGUGAAAUGCGUAGAGAUCGGGAGGAACACCAGUGGCGAAGGCGGCUUGCAGGGCCGGACCUGACGCUGAGACGCGAAGGCGUGGGGAGCGAACGGG
rnacentral:rRNA from 1 species